AGAUCCGAACGAAUCGAAUCAAACGAUCCCUCUUCUCUUUUUUCUUUUUUGGGCAUCACCACCACCCCCUCUGCCAUUACCAUCACCUUACCGUCGCCACCAUCCCCAUCUCUGCCACCACCACCACCACCACCACCGUCUUUAUCCCGACCACCGCAACCACCACAACCAUCUUUAUCUCCUCUAUCAACUACAUUUUAAAAUUUCAGAGAAAAAUAUUUUCUUGGUCGUAAAUCAAUUUCAUAUUCAAAAUCAUCAUCAACAGUUUAUAUUCUUCUUUUUCCUCCUAUACUCCUCAUCGUAAGAGUGAUUUCCAAGUAAAUAGGGGUCCUGAAUAUAUUCAGUUUAAGUGUUGGAUGAAUGUUAUUGUUAUGGUGGUGGACGCUUGUUCGCACUGGAGGUGAUAUAACGACAGUUAAGGUUGGUGUUGUUGUUUGUGGGUGGAGGUGGAAUUGGUAAAGUUGGUAGACUAGCAUGUGGAGGCGGAGUUUGGAGAUGGUGCUAGUUAUGGAAUUGUGAUUGAAGUUGGUACAUUCUGUCUUGUUUUAACCACAAGCUGUGAACUAGAACUAUGGUGUAUGUCUAUUUUUGAGAAAUUAAGUAGACUGGAAUGGUAAUGCAAGCGUUUGAUGAAUCACAUUCAUAAAUUCUUGUUGUUUGGGAUAUUUUAAUGGUGUCGGUACUUCUACAUAGUUCUCGUAUAUGUGGAAGGAAAGUGGGCUCCUGAAGGUUCUGUUGCUUUUGGUGGAUUAGAGGAUAUUACCAUCGGAAAAUAUAUGUGAGACAUUGUUGUUGGGAUCGUACAUAUCCAUACUCAUGUAUAGUAUUAAUUUUUAACGUACGUUAUAUGUAACACCAAUUCAAAGAUGAUUUUUACUUACCGAUGGUUGCACUGGACAUAUUUAAUCUUUCCAUAUCAAUUUAAUAAUAUAUAGUAUUAC